rnacentral:RNase_P_RNA from 1 species
UCAGCAAGCCGGUCUGUCGCUUAUUGUGAAAACAAUAGGAGGAAAGUCCGGACAACAAAGAGCGCCACACUUCCUAACGGGAAGAUAUCCGCGAGGGUAUUGUAGUGUAACAGAAAAUAACCGUCCUGCGUGCAGGAUAAGGGUGAAAAGGUGGGGUAAGAGCCCACCGGUGCUGCAGGCGACUGUGGCAGCCGUACGCCAUGUGGGUUGCAAGACCAUGUAUAUCCCGGUUCCCUUUGGGUACAGGGCUGCUCGUCCUGAUGGCAACAGCCGGGAAGGGUAGGUCGCUAAAGGCUUUGGGUGACCAAGGUCUCAGAUUAAUGACAGACGCCAGACUUGUUUGGUACAGAAUCCGGCUUACAGGCUUGCUGCUUUU